rnacentral:lncRNA from 1 species
GUGCGUCCGUGGCACGGAACGGCCGUUAGUCCCGGCAGAGGGCUCCGCGAAGACAGUGCCGUCGUUGGGCGCGCGCGCGGGCGGGAGCUGUCGGGGCGGGGCGGCACCGCCGAGCUCCGAGCUGCAGGACUUUGAAAUGACCCUGUCCUCAGCCUGGAGGAUGCGGUAUUCUGAUUGUCUGGUGCUGUGUCAACUGGGCCUGCCUCUGGGAUAGUGUUGUGGCUGCCCCACGAGAACCCUAUAUGCCAGUUCCAGAAGCAAAAACAAAAAAAGUUCGGGUACAGCGGCUCACACCUGUAAUCCCAGCUCUUAGGGAGAUGGAAACUGGAGGAUCACUUGAGGCCAGGAGUUCAAGACCAGCCUGGGCAACAUAGCAAGACCCAGUCUCUUAAAAGAAAAUUAAAAAGAAAGAGUAAAUAAAGUUCCAGAAGCUUUGCUCUCCUUA